GACGGGAGGGGCUGGUGUUACUCAUCUUGACUGGGCGUAAAGGAUGCGUAGAUGGUUGUUUAAGUUUAAAAUAAAAGGUUAAUUUUUAAAAAUAAUUUUUUAUACUAAAUAACUUUGAGUUUAAAUGAGGAAAAAGGUACUCACAAUGUAGAGGUGACAUUCGGUGAUAUUGACGGGGACUAUCAAUGGCGAAAGCAUUUUUCUAAUUUAAUACUGACAGUGAGGCAUUACAGCAUAGGUAUCGAACAGG
rnacentral:rRNA from 1 species